AUGGCAUCCCAGCCACCGCCUCCGCCCCAUGAGCUCGACCUAGAGGCCUUCCCCCCGUCUUCUCCUCCUCCCGCCUCCGACGCCGAUCACCGCCGCGCCGUUGACGACCUGCUCCUCCUCCUCUCUUCGUCCGACUCCGACGGCGACGACGAGACAAACCCUACACCCAGUACCAACUACAAAACCCCUAUCAAAGCCCCAUCGCCGCCCCCUAACGAGCUCGAUCUGGAGGCCUUCCCCCCGUUGUCUCGAGCCUCCUCCUCAGUCUCCGACGCCGACGCCGAUCGCCGCCGCGCUGUCGACGACCUGCUCCUCCUCCUCUCCUCGUCCGACUCCGACGAAGACGACGAGCCAAACCUUACACUCAGCACCAAACACAAACCUCUGACCCGUAUCAAAGCCACACCGCCGCCUCCUAAACCUUCUCCAUCUCCUCUGCCGUUGCCUUCCGCGUCCUCCGGGAGAUCCACAUCCGCAUCGCCGUCGGCGACGCUCUCCUACCUUGUCCCGAGAACCUUUUCGAACAACGCUGCCUCCUCGUCGAGGCCACUCCCCUCGCUCUUCCGGGGUGUCCGCCCCAGCCCCAAACCAGGCGCCGCCCUCGCUGCGGCCGCAGCCGCGUCCCGCGCUAUUCUCACUCCGUACGCCGCUGCAAUUAAGUCACGGCGCACUGCCUCCGCGCCCAUCGAGAAGCUCCUCGACCAAGGCUCCGAGGGUUUCCUUUCUACCGGAAAUUUCAAAGGAGAUGAAGUAGCUGAGAAGGUCAGUGAGGAAGUGGUUGCUAGGGUGACGGACGAAACUAUCGGCGGGAAUGGUGUUGAAGAAUUGGAAGAGGGCAAGCACGGUGAAGUGGGGACUGAAGAGAAUUCCAAGCCCUCAGAAUCGGCGGACAUAGGCAAUGUCGAUUUUGUUGCUGCGGAAAAUGUCAAUGAGCAUGAGCAACUUGAGGGCGAGAAUUUGGCUGAAACUGAUCAACCUGGGAGUCAAAUUCGGUUUAUUGCUGAGGAAAAUGGUGAUGAGCCAAUUAGCAAAGGAAUUUUUGUGGAAUCUGGUGACAUUCAGGAUGGGUCAGUUUCCCAUCAAAAGUCUGAUGACGGGCUGGAAAUUGAACGUUCUGAAACUGAUUUGGAAGAGCAAAUGAAAUCUGAGAGGAUCAUCGAUAAGGUUAUCGAAGAGACGUUGGAGAUCAGCAGGAUGGCUGAGAAAAAUGCGGAGAAAAAGCCAAAGGUGCCGAUAAAACCAUUGGAGUGGGCUGAGGAGCUUGAGAAGAGGCAGGCCUCAUUUGGGCAGCACUGGGAGGAGGGAGCAGCAGCGCAACCAAUGCGCCUGCAGGGGAUUGGGAAGGGCCAACCUGCUAUUGGUUACAUGCAGAUUGAGGUGGACAACCCAAUAACUCGUGCCAUGGCCUCUCCGUCUUUUAGACAGGAACAUGGCUCUCCUCAGGUCUUAGCAGUACAUAGGAGCUAUAUUGCCAUGGGCAUGUCCAAUGGAUCUGUUAUCAUCGUCCCAAGCAAAUACUCCAUCCAUCAAGCUGAUGAUACAAAUGCAAAGAUGCUGUGCUUUUGGAACCAAGGUGAAAAAACUCAAUCACCAGUGACUGCCAUGUGCUUCAACCCGCAAGGGGAUCUUCUGUUAGUAGGAUAUGGUGAUGGUCAUAUGACAAUUUGGGAUGUACAGAAGGCUACUGCAGCAAAAGUCAUAUAUGGCGAGCACACAGGAGCUGUAGUGCAUGUUUGUUUUAUCCACCAAUCUAAAGCCAUCACUGGUGAUUCAAAAGGGCUUGUUCUUAUGCACACAUUCUCGAUUAUCCCCGUCAUUAAUCGCUUGACUGUCAAGGGAAUCCAGCGCCUUUUUGAUGGACAUACUGGAAUCGUGCUCUCGGCCUGUCCUCUUCUAGCGAAUGAAUCCUUUGGUUCUGGCAACCAAACAACUUCCUCCAGUGGUGGUCAUGGGAGCAUGAUGGGAGGUGUAGUUGGAGUAGAUUCCAGAUGGAAGUUUUUCAAUGAAGGUUCUUCUCCAAUGGAGGACGGUGUUACAGUCAUGUUCAUUAUGCAUCAACAUGCUCUUGUGGUUAGACUCCAUACCAAUACUGACCAUGUUGACCAUAUUGAGACCUUCUCUAGACCAGAAGGAGCACGAGAAGGGUCAAUUGCUUAUGCUGCAUGGAAAUACACAUCAUCCUCAAGUGAUUCAUCGCCAAUUGAUGAAGAGCGGGUAUCUUGGCUUGCGCUUGCAUGGGACCGUCAAGUACAAGUGGUAAAAUUUGUUAAAUCAAAGAUGAUCAAACAUAAGGACUGGAAGCUUGAUAGUGUCUCCGUUGGUGUUGCCUGGUUAAAGGAUAAGAUGUUAGCUGUCCUUAACUUGAGAGGGCAGCUCUGUUUGUUCUCAAAGGAUGGCAGUGAGCUUCGCAGGACUAUCUUUAUUCUUGAUGGUUUGGUCUUCGAUGACAGCAUACUGUACCAUACACAUUUUUCUAACAGGUUUGGUAACCCUGAGAGGCACUUUAACAACUCGGUCGCAGUAAGAGGUGCUACAGUAUAUAUUCUUGGCCCAAGCUUUCUUACAGUUUCGCGACUUCUUCCAUGGAAAGAGCGGAUUGAAGCACUAAAGAGGGCUGGUGAUUGGAUGGGUGCAAUGGACAUGGCAAUGAAGCUUUAUGACGGUCACACACAGGGUGUUGUUGAUCUUCCGAGAAAAGUUGAUUCUAUAAGGGAAGCCAUAGUGCCGUCUCUAUUAGAGUUACUGCUGUCAUAUAUAGGUUAUGUCUUCGAAUAUAUUUCUAUUGCAUUGUCAAACCAUACUGGAAAAGGGGGAGCAGCAGAUGGCCUGAUAGACGCCGAUAGAUCCCUGCUGACAGAGAGAGAAGAGCAAUAUGCCCGUGUAGGAGGGGUUGCAGUCGAGUUUUGUGUUCACAUUGGACGGAAUGACAUCCUGUUUGACACAGUCUUUUCUAAGUUUGUUGCUGCUCAAAGUGGAGGUGUGUUUCUGGAGGCACUAGAGCCAUACAUAUUGAAAGAUAUGCUUGGUUCUUUACCCCCUGAGAUCAUGCAAGCUCUAAUAGAGCAUUAUAGUGGCAAAGGAUGGUUGCAGCGAGUCGAACAAUGCAUUCUUCAUAUGGAUAUUUCAUCACUGGAUUUUAAUCAGGUAGUCAGACUGUGUCGUGAGCAUGGGUUAUAUGGUGCCCUAAUAUAUUUAUUUAACCAAGGCCUGAAUGAUUUCCGUACACCUCUAGAGGAACUUCUAUCUGUUAUCCAGAACGCUACUAGGAAAGAUGCUACUUGCUACAGAAUUCUUGUUUAUCUGAAGUAUUGCUUCCAGGGCCUAGUAUUUCCUCCAGGGCAUGGAAUGAUUCCCCGAGCCCAACUUCAUUCAGUGAGAAGAGAACUUGUGCAAUUCAUGCUUGAGGAGUCUAAAAUGCUCACUUCUGAAGUAUUUAAGGGUUUCAGUUCUUCUUCUGGAAAAUGCCCAAACAUAUGCUAUCUACUAUGGAUGGAUACGGAGGCUACUCUGGAAGUUGUCAAGUGUGCUUUUGCACAAGCGAAUUUUAAACCUACUUGUACUCCUGAUGCAUCUGUGUCUAAGGAUGAAGAUGAUACUAAUAUUGAAAGAACAGAUAGUCAAAAUGUCUUGUUACAAAGUGUAGUUGACACCAUCAUUCAUAUUAUUGGUUUGGAAAAUGAGGCGAUCCAUUCCGUUGUUGUGGGUACUGCUGAGUCAGAAGAAUCAGAACUUUGGCCUUCAGUGAAGGAUUUUGGUUAUAUAAUUGAAUUUGUGUCCUUUUCUAUUUCCAGUAAAAGGGUAAAGCCAUCUCAACGAGUUCUUAAACACAUUCUUAAAUACUUCACGUCAUCCAAUACUCCAAAAUAUGAUGAUAAAAAUGUGCUAGCUCAGAAAGAAGUUCUUCAGCUCUUCAAUGUGGUUCCUCAAGCUGACUGGAAUUCUGAUUAUGUGUUGCAUCUUUGUUUAGAUGCCCAUUUUCAUCAGGCAUGUGGCAGGAUAUAUACAGCCAGAAAUCAAAAUUUGUCUGCUUUAGAUAGUUACAUGAAGGAUAUAGUGGAACCAUACCAUGCUUUUAUCUUCAUCAACAAAAAGUUAUUUCAGUUGACAGGCGAUGAAGCUUUAUCAUUUCGUUCCACAGUAAUAUUUCGUUUUGUCGAGCUGGUCAAUCUAAGCAGGGAGUGCGCAUUUGUCCUGUUCCUUGAUCAUUUUCAAAAUGAGAUCCAGCAAAUAUUGUCAGAGUUUCAUUCUGAUAACCGCAGCCACUUUCUUUUCUUGAAAACUGCAAUGGAAGUACACUUGUCAGGAAAACUUGACUUCAGUGCACUAACUGCCCGGAACCAUGAAAUUGUUGCACGUCAGUACUUCUCUGGUGAAAUCGAAGAUUAUCUGCAGAGAUUAUCAAAUUUCUCAAAGUUGUUUGAUCGCAAUCUUGUUUCUAUUAUUGAUGAGUUAUUUGAACCCUAUCUGAAGCUUCUAUGUCAGUAUGAACCAAGGUCAGUCCUGAAGUUUCUGGAGACUUUUGAUAGUAACAGAUUGGACGGGUGUUUGCAGCCCUGUCUAGAUUAUGGAGUUACAGAUGCUGCUGCAUUUCUGCAAGAGAGGCGUGGUUAUGUUCAGAGUGCACUGGCACUUGUUCUAGCUGGACUAGAUGAGAAAAUUAGCCAGUUUAUCACUUCAGUGGAAAAUGUGUUUUCUCAUAUAUCCUCAAAGAGUAUCUCUGAAAUUGAGCAACCAGCCAUUGUUCUAAAAAUGAGUGAGGCUCAUCCGGUGCUUGAUACAUUACGUUCCUCUAUUGGAUUGUGCCAAAGGAACUCACAGCGCUCAGACCCAGGGAAGUCUCAAUCACUUUGGUUUCAACUUCUUGACUCUUUCUCAGAAGCACUGAAAAAAUUGUAUGGAAGCAAGGAUGUAAAUGGAAAAGGUUGUCCUUCCAAGGGGGAUGAAACAACAAACGGACAUCCAACAGGAAACGGAUUCUCACAACAAACGGCGAUUUCAGCUUAUCAAAGGUGUUUGAAUACUCUGCGGAGAGUAUUCUCACAAUUCAUUGGAGAGAUAAUCGAGGCAAUGGCUGGGUAUAUACCCCUACCCACAAUUAUGUCAAAGCUGUUAUCUGACAAUGGGAGUCAAGAGUUUGGUGAUUUUAAGCUUGUCAUACAUAGAAUGCUGUCUAUGCAUCUUUAUGAAAAAAGAAUACUGGAAACAACUAAGUCAGUUAUUGAGGAUGAUUCGUUCUAUACCUUGAGCUUAUUAAAGAGAGGGGUUUGCCAUGGAUUUGCUCCACACACUUUUGUUUGUUGUGUAUGUAGUUGCUCAGUUUCCAAAGGUGUUAUUUCAGCAGUUCGAGUAUUCAGUUGUGGGCAUGCAACACAUCUUCAUUGUGAAGCUGAACAGAGCAAAUCAUCAAGCGGGGAUUUUAAAGAUGGAUGUUCAGUUUGUCUCUUGGCGAGUGACACACAAGCCGGGAAGAAAUCACCUAUAAUAUCUGAGAAUGGGCUACCCAAGUAUCCCAUGGUUGAAAAUGAAGUAGCAUAUGCCGUCCAUCAUAAUAACGAGACAAAUCAUGUUGAGAGAUCUCGUGGGCUUCAGCAGAUGUCACGGUUUGAAAUACUAAGAAGUCUCCAGAAAGCUGAGAAGUCUCUUCAUAUUGAAACUGUACCUCCGUUGAAACUUUCUCCACCAGCUAUAUAUCAUGAGAAGAUACAGAAGCGAGUAAGUUUGGCGGGAGAAUCCAGCAGACACUCAAUUGGAAGUGAAAAACACAGAAAAUAUUGCACUUGA
rnacentral:rRNA from 1 species